CCCUGAAGACCGCCCUUCCAGCCUGCCUCACUCCCAGUGACACUGCCGGGCCCCCCUCCAGUCUUCAUCCUCCCAGUCCCUCCUACUGUCCCUGACGGAAUCGGAUCUACUGCGGCCCCCAUCCCUUCCCCCUCUCUGCCCCCUCCGCCACCGCCAUGUGCCCCUCUCUUCCCUGCUGGUCCUGCUGCUGCCUGCUUCUGUGGUUCGCCCUGGGAGUCCAGGGGGUCCCAAAGGAUCCCAGUGCUGCCCCGGAGCAAGUCCACCUGUCGUACCCAGGUGAGCCGGGCUCCAUGACUGUAACCUGGACCACAUGGGUCCCCACCCACUCGGAAGUACAGUUCGGGCUGCAGUUAUCGGGGCCCCUGCCCUUCCGGGCCCAGGGCAGCGUCAGCCCCUUUGUGGACGGGGGCUUCCUCCGGCGUAAGCUCUACAUACACCGCGUCACGCUGCAGGGGCUGCUGCCGGGGGUCCAGUACGUUUACCGCUGUGGCAGUUCUCAGGGCUGGAGCCGCCGGUUCCGCUUCAGGGCCCUCAAGAACGGGCCCCACUGGAGCCCCCUUCUGGCUGUAUUUGGGGACAUGGGGGCCGACAACCCGAGGGCCCUACCCCGGCUGCGCAGGGACACUCAGCAGGGCAUGUACGAUGCUGUUCUCCAUGUGGGAGACUUUGCCUACAACAUGGAUCAGGACAACGCUCGUGUCGGCGACGAGUUCAUGCGUCUCAUCGAACCUGUGGCUGCCAGCCUCCCAUACAUGACGUGCCCUGGGAAUCACGAGGAGCGCUACAACUUCUCUAACUACAAGGCUCGCUUCAGCAUGCCCGGGAACAACGAGGGCCUGUGGUACAGCUGGGAUCUGGGCCCUGCGCACAUCAUCUCCUUCUCCACCGAAGUAUAUUUCUACCUCCACUACGGCCGCCACCUGGUCGAGAGACAGUUUCACUGGCUGGAGAGAGACCUCCAGAAAGCCAAUCAGAACCGGGCAGCCCGGCCGUGGAUCAUCACCAUGGGUCACCGGCCCAUGUACUGUUCCAAUGCGGACGUGGAUGACUGUACGUGGCACGAGAGCAAGGUUCGGAAAGGCCUCUUCGGCAAGUUAUUUGGAUUAGAGGAUCUUUUCUACAAAUACGGGGUCGACCUGCAGCUGUGGGCUCAUGAGCACUCGUACGAACGACUGUGGCCAAUUUACAACUACCAGGUAUUUAACGGCAGCCGAGAGAUGCCCUACACCAACCCUCGAGGCCCUGUCCACAUCAUCACAGGAUCUGCUGGCUGUGAGGAGCGGCUGACCCGCUUCACCCUCUUCCCGCGGCCUUGGAGCGCCGUGCGAGUGAAGGAGUACGGGUACACGCGGUUACACGUCCUCAAUGGGACCCACGUCCACAUCCAGCAGGUGUCCGAUGACCAGGAUGGAAAGAUUGUGGAUGAUGUGUGGGUGGUGAGACCCCUGCUCCACCGGAUGAUGUACCUCUAGGGAUGGGGCGACUCCGAGCCUUGCGGCCUUGGCUUAUGUAACCGGACACUACGCAUGCCCGGCUGGGGAGUCAGGGCAGGCCUCGACUCCUCGGCCUUCCUGAGGGCCCAUGUGGACGAAUGCAGCCCUGAGGGGGCUGGGCAGCUCUCCCCUCCUGGAGAGGUGGGGGGGUCCCCAGCGGCUGUGUUCGAAGGGCAGUUGCGGACACAGACAGACACAGACGCACAGUUCCCCAGCCUGGCAAUGGCUUCUCCUGGAAGCGAGAAGGGUUACCACUCCUGCCUUCCAGCUGGGGUGGCUGACAGCCUUAGGUGCUCACUGACCUGCUGUCUCCCUCCCCUUUGCCUCCUUCCCCCGUUUCCCUCCUUCCUUUCAUUUAUUCGACCAUUAUUUAUUGAGCACCUGCCAUGUGCCAGACUCUGUUCUCCGUCCUGGGGAGACAGCCACGAACAGGACAGAGGUCUCUGCCCCAGUGACAUUCUCUCCGGUGAAAG